GGAUGCGAUCAUACCAGCACUAAUGCACCGGAUCCCAUCAGAACUCCGAAGUUAAGCGUGCUUGGCGAGAGUAGUACUAGGAUGGGUGACCCCCUGGGAAGUCUCGUGUUGGCAUCCC
rnacentral:rRNA from 1 species